rnacentral:ncRNA from 1 species
UCGAAGCCCUAGGGGAGUAGUCUACUGAGAGCCUUGCAACGGCAAGGCGACCCUUUGAACCUGAUCCGGAUCAUACCGGCGUAGGGAAGCGGCGCGAACAUCGG